rnacentral:rRNA from 1 species
CUCAGUAACACGUGGAUAACCUACCCUUGGGACUGGGAUAACCCCGGGAAACUGGGGAUAAUACCGGAUAGAUCAGGGAUGCUGGAAUGCGCCUUGAUCCAAAGCUCCGGCGCCCAAGGAUGGGUCUGCGGCCUAUCAGGUUGUAGUGGGUGUAACGUACCUACUAGCCGACGACGGGUACGGGUUGUGAGAGCAAGAGCCCGGAGAUGGAUUCUGAGACACGAAUCCAGGCCCUACGGGGUGCAGCAGGCGCGAAACCUUUACAAUGUGCGAAAGCAUGAUAAGGGAACUCCGAGUGCCAGCAUCUAAUGCUGGCUGUCCUUGUGCCUAAAACGCACAAGAUAGCAAGGGCCGGGUAAGACCGGUGCCAGCCGCCGCGGUAACACCGGCGGCCCGAGUGGUAGCCGCUAUUAUUGGGUCUAAAGGGUCCGUAGCCGGUUCGAUAAGUCCUCUGGGAAAUCUGGUUGCUUAACAAUCAGACUGCCAAGGGAUACUGUCGAACUUGAGACCGGGAGAGGUAAGAGGUACUUCAGGGGUAGGAGUGAAAUCUUGUAACCCCUGGGGGACCAUCUGUGGCGAAGGCGUCUUACCAGAACGGGUCUGACGGUGAGGGACGAAAGCUGGGGGCGCAAACCGGAUUAGAUACCCGGGUAGUCCCAGCCGUAAACGAUGCUCGCUAUGUGUCAGGUACGGUGUGACCGUAUCUGGUGCCGUAGGGAAGCCGUGAAGCGUGCCACCUGGGAAGUACGGUCGCAAGACUGAAACUAAAG